ensembl:lncRNA
UGGAGAUGGGGCCUGGGAUUCUGCAUUGCUAACAAGCUCUCGGGUAACUAAUACUUGGGAAUGCUGCUGGUCUAAGCGGCAAGGGGGAGAUCAGCAUUGUCCAAAUAAAAGAUAACGUGAGCUACACAUGCAAUUUUAAAUUUCUAGAAGCCAUAUUAAAAGGUGAGGAAAUGGACAUCCCAGAGAUUAGAUAAUUUGUCCUGGGCCCGUGACCGUUAGGAGGUAGAACGUGAAUUCACGUCCAGUCUGCUGGACCGUAAAGUUCAUCCCCUUAACUAUUCCACUACACUGAGGAAGCUCUCUUCAACUGUCGUAAGCGGAAUUUGCUGAUUGGUCAACAAAGUAGUCAACAAAAACUACAGCCCACAGGGGAAGCCCGUGGCGCGGCGGAAGAGAAAACAGAGGAUCCCAAAAUGAAGACACUUGCUCAAGUUCACACAGCUGUUAAGUGGAUGGCAAGGGGCCAGACUUCUAAGGUGCAGAGAUUGUCCCUGUAGAAUGGGAAGAAGACAUGAGUGGACAAAACGACUUAGGUAUUAUAGUCACAUUUCCUUCUAGGAGCUGGGCCUUCAUUUCCCAUCAGUGGUAUUUAUCAGCCUCGGCUACUCAGCAAGGAUUCUGCCUUCGUAAAUUUCCAGAAGAGCAGCAGGCACCAAGUUCUACUUUCAUGGAUAUUUCAAGACUCUAGGAGAAGCCUAUCAAGGUCUUUCAGGAGACAUCUUACUAUGCUCCACUUGGAUGGCAACCCCAGUAGGAGACUUCAGAUUGUACAGUUCAGUGAGCAUCCACCCAAGGAUGCAGUGCCAGUUUCUUCUUUUCCAGAUACUCUCAGUCUCUAAAAGUGAUUAUCUUGCAACCCUGCCGAUCUCUUGGCUUCAUGAGGAAUGAGGAAGCAAGCCUCUAGAAAUAUCUUUCACCAAGGACCCACGAGAACACUCGCCCUUGGAAACCAGCUGCUGUGCAGUAAGAAACCCAAGUCACAUGGAUGGCCACGUGUUGGCACUCUGGUUGAGAGCCCCACCUGGGCUCCUAGCUGACAGUCAGCAUCACCUAGCAGCCAUGAGACAAAGCCCACUCUUCUCAUCUAGCGAGUUGCCUUCAUAUCUGUGAGAGAGGGCCACGUGAACUGAAUUUCAUGGAUUGUGGUGGGAAUGAAAGCAGAGUCCUGACCCUUAGUUCAUGAAAAAUUAUCUGUGCAUGGACUGGCUCUGUGGCUGGUACAAAAAGAAACUUUCAAAAGAGAACAAAGAAAGCGUCAAAAGAAUAAGUGUGUAACUUCCCAAGACGAGAUUGGCGUUUUAUACAAGUAGACUGAGCUCUCCUGAAAAGGAAGGAAUUCUGUUUCCAUGUUGCGACAUAGAAACCCUGCCUGAGUUUCUAGCCUUUGGACUCAAGACUGCAACAUCAGCUCUUGCUGGAAUUUCCAGCCUACAGCCUGCCCCACGGAUUUUGGACAUGUCAACCCCUACAAUCACAGGACAUUGACGUUGACAGAGAAAGACCAAAGGAAUCUUUGUGACUUCAUCCAAAUGUCACAGCAAGAGUGAAAUAAGAAUGGAGAAAAAGGAAGCAAUCUCCGUGGUUUCAUUGGCGCUCACUCAUUGAGCCUUCCAGAGGAGGCUCCUGCCUUGCGAAGGUUCAGAGUCUAGGACAUCUAAUCCACCCAGAGGGGGCUUCAUAUUUGAUUAGGCCCUUGGAAUCCAGCUUAGAAAAUGAGCUGUUAAAAAGUCGAGGCAAAAUAGAGAGUGGACCCCUGACUCUUAGGGUGGGUUGGCGGCCGGUCUGAGCAGGAAGUGUUCUGAUGUGCUGACAGUGAGGAAACAGGCCGUGUUUUUGUUUAUUUUCUCAUAAAGUGCUGAUGAACAAAUGAGGUAGUUGCAUUAAGGGGCUCCGAAGCAAGCUGUGAAAAGAGAUUGGGGUUUAUCAGCCUUUUAGCCUGGUUUCCUUUGGAAAGAAUGCUUGUGACAUGGCGAGGCUCUGCAAGUCUGCGUGUCCACCCCCUCGGCGCGGCGCCCCUCCUCCCCGCACGCUCCUUGAUAACUUUGACUGCCUCAAACUGAUGUCAGCCCUUUUUGGUAGAUGGGGAGAAGGAGGGCCUCAUGGAUUCCUUAAUAAUAGAAGCAAAUGCUCGAGAGAUAGAGCAAUUUCCACACAUUAAAUAACCUCCUUUUUGUUUUUUGUGCUUAUGCUUGAUAGUUCUAAAUUUAAUUUGUGGACUCCUUUAAAGAGAUUUCUAGGAAAUUGGUGGGGGUGGGAAGUAGGAGAGGGCUCUGUUGGGAGGACAUUCAUAUUUUUUUGGAUCUAAGAUCUUACCUGACACAAGAAUGGAGGAAAGUCAGAAAUAUGAGGAAAGCAUUGCCUAUAGCUAUGAAUAAAUCUGUCACUUGGAAGAUAAAAACGCUUAAGCAGCAUACCUUAAAAUAAAGUAUGAGCUUUGAAUCCUUGGUGGAGCAAUGCAUGGAACAAAGAAAGAAAUGGUCAAAUAAAUUUAAAAAAUUAGAUAAUCCAGAAGCUUGCUUUGCUGCUAAACUCUGUGUCCUUCCAAGUUUCGUAAAGAGUAAUUGUAGAGUGGCCGUUAUCUCUGCUCCUUAGCUCUAGUUACCUCAGCUGCAAAGGUCGUGGCACCUUCCUCUGGGGGAGAAAUGAAGUCUGUUUCUCCUGAGCCAGAGUUGACAUCGUAGGAGUACAGUAACGUCUGGUAAAAUAACUCACUCAAAAUCAAGUUUGACCAGUGUGCUUCUGAGUCAAGGGAUUUAAAAUGUUUCACAGAUGACAGCAAUUUUAACCAAUGUGACCUAGGAUAAUUCCAAGGAAUAAAAAAUAUGGUAAAUGGUUCAGAAUGGAUUUGGU